rnacentral:rRNA from 1 species
CAUUAAGAAUCUAUGAUGGGCGGAACAAGAUAGAGAGACUGUGCUGGCCGUUUGAAUAAGACAGCAUGUGCACGUCCCCUCGUCUUCGUUCGGUCUGUCGUAUACCCACACCUGUGCACCAAUUGUAGAUCUUUCAAUGUUAAUGUUGAUGGAAGUCCUUUAUCUCGUCCGACGAGUUAGCUUAGUUACUAGGCAGUCUUUCGAAAGAGAGGCUGGCGAAAGCAAAGCUAGAGGAUCAAAGUUGAUGUCGAUGUCGACGGGUAAAUCCCUGAUCUGAUCAAGCUUAGUUACUAGGCAGUCUUUGAAAAGAGGCUGGCGAAAGCAAGCAAGAAAGGACAGGAUAAAAGUCAAUGUCGAUGUCGAUGGUAAGUCCUUGAUCUCGUCAAGCUUAGUUACUAGGCAGUCCUUUGAAAAAGAGACUGGCGAAAGCAAGCAGGAAAAGAGGAGGAUGAAAGUUAAUGUUGAUGUAGAGGGGUAGAAUCAAAGUUAAUGUUAAUGGAAGUCCUUGAUGAGUUAGCUUAGUUACUAGGCAGUCUUUCGAAAGAGAGGCUGGCGAAAGCAAGCAAGCAGAGGAUGAAAGUUAAUGUUGAUGCUGAUGAUAUCAAUGGAUCUAUGUUUUCAUCAUCACACACUAUUGUAUGGCCAGAAUGUUUAUAAAUAAAAUACAACUUUCAGCAAUGGAUCUCUUGGUUCUCGCAUCGAUGAAGAACGCAGCGAAUUGCGAUAAGUAAUGUGAAUUGCAGAUUUCCAGUGAAUCAUCGAAUCUUUGAACGCAUCUUGCGCUCCUUGGUAUUCCGAGGAGCAUGCCUGUUUGAGUGUCAUUUAAUUAUCAACCAUCGUUCUUUAGGGAAUGAUGGCUUGGAGUUGGGGGUUGCUGGCGACGACCUGGUUGUCAGCUCUCCUUAAAAGCAUUAGCGAUCGAAGUCUUUCGACAUGCACGGCCAUUGACGUGAUAAUGAUCGUCGUGGCUGGAGUGUCUUUCCUAGACUAUGCUAGAUAGAUCGCUUCUAAUAGACAAGAUCCUUGAUCUUCAUCAAGCUUAGCUACUAGGCAGUCUUUGAAAAGAGGCUGGCGAACACAAGCUAUGGAAGUCAAUGUUGACGAAAUAUAAUGACUG